UACGUAGGGUGCAAGCGUUGUCCGGAAUUAUUGGGCGUAAAGAGCUCGUAGGCGGUUUGUUGCGUCGGCUGUGAAAUCCCGAGGCUCAACCUCGGGUCUGCAGUCGAUACGAGCAAACUAGAGUGUUGCAGGGGGAGACUGGAAUUCCUGGUGUAGCGGUGAAAUGCGCAGAUAUCAGGAGGAACACCGGUGGCGAAGGCGGGUCUCUGGGCAACAACUGACGCUGAGGAGCGAAAGCGUGGGGAGCGAACAGG
rnacentral:rRNA from 1 species